rnacentral:rRNA from 1 species
AGAGGCGAAGGCGACUAUCUGGGGCAUUACUGACGCUGAGGUGCGAAAGCGUGGGGAGCAAACGGGAUUAGAUACCCCGGUAGUCCACGCUGUAAACGAUGAAUGUUAAUCGUCGGGCCUUUGAGCUCGGUGGUACAGCUAACGCGUUAAACAUUCCGCCUGGGGAGUACGGUCGCAAGAUUAAAACUCAAAGGAAUUGACGGGGACCCGCACAAGCGGUGGAGCAUGUGGUUUAAUUCGAUGCAACGCGAAGAACCUUACCACCUAUUGACAUCUUGAUCGCGGAGCUUGUAAUGAGCUCUUUCAGUUCGGCUGGAUCAAUGACAGGUGUUGCAUGGCUGUCGUCAGCUCGUGUCGUGAGGUGUUGGGUUAAGUCCCGCAACGAGCGCAACCCUCGUCCUUAUUUGCCAGCACGUUAUGGUGGGAACUAUAAGGAUACUGCCCGUGACAAACGGGAGGAAGGUGGGGACGACGUCAAGUCAUCAUGGCCCUUACUAGGUGGGCUACACACGUGCUACAAUGGCAGUGACAAUGAGCAGCUUAUCCGCGAGGAUUGGCUAAUCUUUAAACACUGCCUCAGUUCGGAUUGGAGUCUGCAACUCGACUCCAUGAAGUUGGAAUCGCUAGUAAUCGUGGGUCAGCAUGCCACGGUGAAUACGUUCCCGGGUCUUGUACACACUGCCCGUCAUGCCAUGAGAAUUGGUCUUACCUUAAGCUAGUGAGCUAACCUUCGGGAAGCAGCUAUCCACGGUAAAAUCAGUGACUGGGGUAAAGUCGUAACAAGGUA